CCAAUAGCGUAUAUUAAAGUUGUUGCCGUUAAAAAGCUCGUAGUUGAACUUCGGGGUUUACCCAUUGGUCAGGCUUAAUUGUCUGCACUGGUGAGAUGAAUCUCUACCUUCUGAGGAACUUUCAUGCCAUUUAUUUGGUGUGAUUGGAAAUCAGGACUGUUACUUUGAAAAAAUUAGAGUGUUUAAAGCAGGCUAACGUCUGAAUACAUUAGCAUGGAAUAAUGAAAUAGGACGGACUGAUUCUAUUUCGUUGGUUUCUAGGAUCACCGUAAUGAUUAAUAGGGAUAGUUGGGGGCAUUAGUAUUCAAUUGUCAGAGGUGAAAUUCUUGGAUUUAUUGAAGACUAACUACUGCGAAAGCAUUUGCCAAGGAUGUUUUCAUUAAUCAAGAACGAAAGUUAGGGGAUCGAAGACGAUCAGAUACCGUCGUAGUCUUAACCAUAAACUAUGCCGACUAGGGAUCGGACGAAGUUAAUUUUAUAAUGACUCAUUCGGCGCCUUACG
rnacentral:rRNA from 1 species